rnacentral:rRNA from 1 species
AAGACCUUGCGCUUUUGGAGCGGCCGAUGUCUGAUUAGCUAGUUGGUGGGGUAAUGGCCUACCAAAGCUUCGAUCAGUAGCUGGUCUGAGAGGACGGCCAGCCACACUGGGACUGAGACACGGCCCAGACUCCUACGGGAGGCAGCAGUGGGGAAUUUUGGACAAUGGGCGCAAGCCUGAUCCAGCCAUGCCGCGUGAGUGAAGAAGGCCUUCGGGUUGUAAAGCUCUCUCAGCCGGGAAGAAAAGGUUGCGAUUAAUAAUCGCAAUUGAUGACGGUACCGGAAGAAGAAGCACCGGCUAACUACGUGCCAGCAGCCGCGGUAAUACGUAGGGUGCGAGCGUUAAUCGGAAUUACUGGGCGUAAAGGGUGCGCAGGCGGUUUUGUAAGUCAGAUGUGGAAUCCCCGGGCUUAACCUGGGAACU